UAUAGACCCGAUAUAGCUGGGCUGUGUCUAGCCCAUAUCUAGCCCAAAUAAACUUUAAUUUGGUUACAUGUGGUUUUUGACAAAAUACUUUGUGAGAUGUAUGCUAUUUCAUCAUGUAAGCAAAGUUAACAGCGAUUACAAGGUAUUUCGUUUCAUUUCUUUAAAGUGUUUUAUGCAUUGUCUGUACGUAGUCACAAUUUAGCUCAUAAAUAGACCGACUACGAAUAAACCACGUUUAGCCUAGAAAUAACCAUGAAUUUAAUUAAAUGUUGUUUUUCCAAAAUGAUUUGUGAGAUGUAUGAUAUUUAAUCAUAUAAACAAAGUUCAAAGAUAUUACGGUAUUUUGUUUCAUUUCUUUAAAGUGUUUUAUGCACCGUCUGUACUUAGCCACUAUUUAGCUUACAAAUAGACCGACUACGAAUAACCCACGUUUAGCCCAGAAAUAACCAUUAAUUUAAUUACAUGUGGUUUUUGCCAAAUAACUUGUGAGAUGUAUGGUAUUUCAUUGUGUAAGCAAAGUUAACAUCGAUUACAAGGUUUGUUUAAUUUCUUUAAAGUGUUUUAUGCACCGUCGUACAUAGCCACUAUUUAGCUCAUAAAUAGACCGACUACGAACAAACCAUGUUUAGCCCAGAAUAACCUUGAAUUUAAUAAAAUUUUGUUUUUGCCAAAAUAACUUGCAAGAUGUAUGAUAUUUCAUCAGGCAUGCAAAGACACCAGUGAAUUCCAGAUGUUUGGUUUUAUUUAUCUUAUCUGAAUCUGCUGUCACGCAUAACAUUCAUUAUUGAUAAACAAAAUCCAGUUACAACUCCGAACCGCUAGAUGGCAGCUGCAGUACACAAACACGAGGCCAAAUCUCGCGAGAAAGACUUCCGCUGUUUGAAAAUCAACAACACACCAGCGAGCAGCCAGAAGGAAAGCAAUCUUCCACACUCGUUUGGUCUUGUGUCAAAGCUGUGCGAAACUGGAGGGAGAAACUUGAGAGACCGUGCCGGAAGAAUGCUGGACAGAGUUCCCUAAAAUUCAUUAAUUUCAAAGUUCAACAUGAAUGGUGGUGGUCCACUGCAGAAGCAAGCAUUUGAAAAAACAUCAGUUCUCAGUUAUUAAAGAUGCUGUGUUGAACAACUUUCCAGCAGCAACAGAACUGGAAGUGAAGGUUGCAAUGGGGGCAUUUCAAACAGGCACCAGGGAGGACAUGGUGUAUAGAAAUUAGUACAAUUAAGUUGAAGUGAACUGAAGAUAGUUUGUUAAUGUUUAGAUGUUAUUUCAUUUUUAAAAUUGUAUUUUGUUAUUUAUGCUUUUAUUUUGUUACUGUUUUUAUUCUUUUUGUUAAAAGUAGUUUUUCUUCAUUUUGUCUUAUCUGAAUUUCUAUUGUAUUAAUACUAUUUUUUGUAAUAAAUUGCAUGAUUACAUGUUUAUGAGAACCUUUUUUAAUGGAUUAAAAAGAAUUCUUUAGCCA